rnacentral:RNase_P_RNA from 1 species
AGUCUGCCAGGCAGUCGCUUAACCUUGUGUUAAGAGGAAAGUCCGGGCUCCGCAGAGCAGAGUGCCAGGUAACCCCUGGGGGGCGUGAGCCUACGGAAAGUGCAGCAGAAAGUGAACCGCCAGCUUCGGUUGGUAAGGGUGAAAAGGUGCGGUAAGAGCGCACCGCAUGACUGGCAACAGUUCAUGGCGAUGGUAAACCCCGCUCGGAGCAAGACCAAAUAGAAGUCCUAUGGUGCGGCUCGCACUGGACUUGGGUAGGUUGCUUGAGCCAAUUGGUGACGAUUGGCCUAGAUGAAUGACUGUCCUAGACAGAACCCGGCUUACCGGCAGACUCA